GCAACAAAGUUGAUAAUUGAAAAUAUAGUUUUGUUCAUUGUUUACUUGGAUGCUGCUAUGGUAAUGCCAAAAUUUUGUUGCUUUUGUACAUUGGCCUAGCAAUGCACUCAUCCACCCGCAACCCCUCCCCUCCCAUGGAUAAACAAUGGGUUAAUAUACUGGUGGUAUCAUCAGAGUAAUGGUCUAUGGUUGAGAGGCCUAUAGAUAAGAUUACGAUAUGUAUGAGACAAGAAAAUCAAGGAUUGAAAAUGUAUGGGAAACACUGAUUCCGUAUACAGUUCCUAUGUUAAUAAGUUUUAGCCAGUACAAUGCCAUCCUUUUUUGGAUUUUCAUAUUCCUAUUUCUCUAUUUUGUUCUAGUAUAAUUGCCUGGUCGAUGAUUGUGAAUAUCACUUCUAUCUGCUACGCUUUGGUGUAACAGCAGCUACACGAGCUCUUCUGUUUUACUGUUCCUGACAAUUAGUAGUAGCAUAGUCUAAAAUGGUCAGCAGUGUUUAUAGACAAAGAUACUUGUUAUAAAAAAUGGAGGUUGUGAAUGUUCAAGCUAGACAGAUUGUGAAUGGAUGGACUCUCUUCAAUAGUGCGGAUUUCUUGGUUCCUACAUGCAUAUGUUGUUAUUGGAGGAAUCUAAUGCUUUUGACUCAGCGAUUAGAAGCAAACCCUAAAGGCAGCAGGGAAAUAGUGGUCCAGAAGUCUAACUCAUUUUUUACGAUCUAAGUGUUGAGCAAAGCAACAAUUCUGAAACGUAGCUCAAAGAAAACUCAUGGUAGUGACAACCCUGUUUCAGCUUCUGCAACUGAUGCCCAAAUAAUGAAGCUAGGCAAGUAAUGAACAAACUUGAGUCAACUCAAGAAUCAAGGAGGCUUGCUGGGUUGCUCGAAGGCGUCAGCCAAACAUUUUUUUUACAAUUUGGUAUCCAGCCCAAUAUCUCGGUGAUCAACAGAUCUGAAAUGUGAAGUCGGACCGCCACAAGCAUCCUGGACCGCUAAUCCAGGGAAACCAAUUACAUCAUCCCAUGGCGGGGGCCCCUCCGUUAAUCCUGGCUAACAAGAUUGUUCCAAUAGAAAUUGGAAGUCCGAUAACCAUUUGUACGAUUUGCUCCUAUGUGUGUUGCUUUGUUUGCAUAUUUUGACAAUCUGUGACUUGCAUUUGGAAUCCAUUGUUGUUACCCUAGAUAAUUUUUGAAGUUAUAUGGGAGGUCUCCUUUCGGCUGCUCCGGCAAA